AGGAGGCGGACCAACCGCCCCGGGAGCCGAGGUGUCUGCGGCGGGAACGGCGGUCAUAGUGGGGCUGGGGUGGCCACAGAAAUUCUCCGGAGCCCAAGGGAAGGGCAAGCCAAGCGCCGGGGCGCUUGUUUCAAGGAGCCAGAGUGACGCGCGUCGUUGGAGCGGGAAGCCGGGCCCCCUGGCGUCCGCCCGUUGCGGCGUCUUUGGGGUGGUUCCUCCGCGCGCGCCUUUCGUUACUCUGCCCGCUUUUUCUGGGCUUCCUGAGGGCAGGGAUGGGAGUCCUGCCGCUACUCUGCCCGCCAAGCCCGCCUGCUGUCCUGCCUGCGUGCACGUUUGCGAGCUCAAGAAGUCGUCUGCCCACGACGUCUGCCGUGGGGCAUCACCCUCGAGCUGGGAGUGGGCCCAGCGGGCCUCGAGGGAACUCUCAGAUAAUGUUACUUACUACUGCUUAGUCUACAGGACCUCCACUUUCAGAGAAGGGUCUUCCUGAGAAUGUAUCUUCAUGACAUGAUGGAAAAUUUGGAAAGCAAACUAAUCAAAAAACUAUGUUCAGAGCCAAUUAAAAGGGUUAAAAGUUGGAUACAGAGAUAAGUUUUGGGAGAUGAAGCUGGGAGUUGAAAUCCAGCAUGGAAAACAAGAUGAGCUGCAGUUCCCAGGCUGCAGGGGUAUUCACAUUUUUUAUCGAGUUGAAACAGUUUUUUUUUUCUUUUGACUUCAAUAGCUUUUGUAAACUUGGGUAUACUUUGCUUAUGGUUGUCAGGAAGGAGAACAUUAGAAUGUACAGAAGUGUCUCAACCUGGCCUACAGUAUCAGUGCUCUUACCACCCCUAUUGGUGUCUUGUUCAGAUUUUUAAGGUCCCACUUCAUUAUCAGUUUAAUUCAUGUUCACAGUUUUAACAUCACAGCUAACCAUAUUUUUAGUAGAUGGUCUGGAACCCCUUGCCUGAGUUAUAGGCAGAGUUUUUCACACUUUUCUCUUGGAAAAUCUUCUCAUCACCAUUAACAAAUGCUAACUAAUUAAUUUACUUAGCCAGUAGCUGUUUCUCAAUAGGCCAGCUUUGAGGCAUUUUCAUAGCAUUAUUUUUAUUUUGCAUCUUAAUUUUUUUGGAUGUGAACCAAUGCCAUUUUAAAUUGCUGUUGGAGACAUUUUGUCAAAGGAUUCCUUUUUAGUUCCUUCAUCUUCGUCAUCUGCUUCAUCUUCUUCAUAAGUAUCAUUCCCUGAUAUUUCUGUUACCUUAAAAUAUUUGCAUCUAUACUUUUUCAUGGUUUUUCAAUCCUAUGUUUCUUUUCUGGUCUUUGCAGCAGGUUCUUUCUUGAAUAGGAACAGCUCCUCUAUAAUUCCUCUGGACCUCUCUUCUUGAGAUACAACUAGAAGAAGGUGAUUAUUGGGACAAAUUAUAGCCCUUGUCACUCAGUUGGUCUCAGGACUGCAACUACUACUUAUCCCCCUCUCCCUCCAUUGCCCACUUCAAAUUCUACUCUCCUUCAGCUAUCUUUGCCACAGGUCUUAGUAGUUUACCUGGGUGUAACCCAAAUCCUUAAUUUCCUGAUUAGGAAGUAUAUUUAUAUAUAGAAAUGACAUGCAUCUCACUCUGGGAUUGUUGUACAUGUCCUUCCAUAGUUACAAUUAAGUAUCAAAAGGCUCUCAAGUUCACAUACAUUUUUCCUCACCCAUUGUGUGAAAGCAGUCCUUUUACUCCUUAUUGAUCAGUUACCCUGCCAAGAUGGGAACUCCUCUUCUUGCCUGCUGGUACCUGGACAUGAAAAGUCCAAAGUGCCCAAAUAGCUAUAGCUUAUAGUUCAAUGAGACCCUUAGCAAAAAAAAAAGCAUCCGCUUUGGAAGCUAGGACUUCUAAACCUUCAAAGCCCAGAGUUGUAAGAAUAGGAACAGAGGUGUAAGAAUACAUUCCCUAAUGAGUCAGUAGGAGUGAUGUUAAGUGGGGACCACUUCUGCUUCCCCUGCUUUUGGUCCCAGUCCAGGACCAUACCUAGAUCUCUGAUUUAUUGUGUAUGCUGCAUCCUAAAGGAUGACACUUCACUGUUGGCAAAAUAUUCAGAGGCACCUUCAGUAGGCUUCCCAGUGAUCUAUCAGGCUGGCUGCUCUGGAAAGCACACCCAAUAGAUCCCUUGAUCAUGAGCUCACACUACUACCUUUACUAUGAAGUGGCUCACCUGUUUGGAUGCUAUGUUGAAUUGGAUCCCAUGCCUAUGUCUGAGUCCUUCUUUAAGCCCCUGGAUAAUGAUAUGGGCUGAGGCCCUUCAGACAAAAAGUCAUACCCAGAAUAAGUAGCCCUAUGAGAUUGAACCACAAGCCACUUCGGGAAUCGGGAAUCCAUGUUACUGAAUUAACAUCAAGUGGCUAAUUUAUCUCUCAAGUAUUAAAGCCAUAUCAGGGAUGCAAUGUCAGUCUCUGCUGCUAGCAAAUUAGACUUUGAAAGGCAGAAGUAGCUAUAAGAUUGGCCUUGGUCAGUGGGAACUCAUGCUGUUUUAUUCAUGUGUUGCCUCCAUCUCUGCAAACAUGGCCAUUCCAUUUAUGUGCCAUUUUGGAAUGGACCAUGACAAAGCUUGGCUAACAUCAACUGGUAGAAUUCUUUUAUCUAUUUGAUUUUUUCAGUUUCUCUUUCAUUAGUGAUGGUGCUUUAUGGUCAGAAUAAACAUGAGAUAACAAAAAUCUUCACCCUUUGUGCUCACUCUCUUAUGUACAUCCACAUGCCUGUAUUCAGACCUCUUUUUCUCUAACCUUCAUCUUUUCCUUCAGGAUCCUGACUAGCUGGCCAGGCCACUAACAUUGCCAAGGAAUCUGUACAGAUUCUCAGUACCAAGUCACUUCUCCUUCCACAUAAAGUUGCCUAUGAGGAAGAUUUUUCCUCUAAGCUGCCUUUCAGGGUGACCCCUUAAUGUAUACUUUCCACUCAUAUACCAAACCAAUCCAUUAAUAAUCAAGUUUGACCUUUUUUCUUCUCCUCCUAUGGCAUGUGCAGCCUGAGGAAGGGGUGCAGAUGCCACCAUCAUGAGAAAUAUAGAGGGGUCUGUGCUACUAAUUAAUUCAUGCAGCUUACUCAAACCCUCUUGUCCUUUUGGUGUUUGAUUUUGAAUGCAUCAUUUCUGUAUUAUGCUGGGCCCAUUAACUUUAUAACUGAGCUCAUGAUGGACACUUUUAGACACAUGAUAACCUUUAACCCACAGUCAAGCUUUCUGUCUCUAUGAGGGUCUAAUACCAUAUGAGGAGCUGUUUCUUGAAAGGAGUAAAAUCCUGUGCUGCAGAUGGCGUGGCCUUUCUCCUAGAUUCCAGAGUCCUAUAUUCUGAUCUCCCAUUGAGACUUGCUGUAAACUCCACACUGACUGCUGCAGUGCCCUUUGCUGCUCCUGGUUGCACUUGGAGCAUACAUCCCUCCAUGUCUCCCAGGAUAUGAGCUAGAGGAAUAUUCCCACGUGUGGAAUUUGUUGCUUCCAGAGCCCAAAGAGGCCCAUUAGACAUCUUGCUUCAUUAUAGUAGGAGAUGCAAUAUGCAAAAGUUUGUCUUUUACAAAAGAGAGGUUGUCUUCGCAUGCCACUGACUACUAGACCACUAAAACUUUACAGAAGUGUCAGAUUCUUGGAUCUUUCCAGAUUUUACCUUAUACCUUCUGGAUCUAUGUGUCUUACCAAGGCCUCUGCCAUACAAGCUGCCCUUUCUCAUUCUGCCCCAUCAGCACAUUACUGAUAUAUCACAGUGCUGUUCUGUAGAAUGUCCAGACAAUCCAGGUCUCUCAGACUUUAUUGCAAAGAGAUUGAAGAAGUUAACAUAGUCCUUGGACAAAACUGAAAAUAAAUAUUGUCUUUUCCACAUGAA